GAGGAUAUAGCUCAGUGGUAGAGCACAUGCCUAGCAUGCAUGAGGUCUUGGGUUCAAUCCUCAGUGCCUCCA
rnacentral:tRNA from 1 species